GUGUAAACCAGGGGUCACCAAACUUUUUGAGAGUGAGAGCUACUUCAUGUGUCCUGAUUGUGUGAAGGGCUACUAAAUUGAUACACGUCUAAAAUAACAUUUGUACAAAUUACAUUUAAUAAUAUUAGAACGUUAGCUAGCUAGAUGUAUACUGUAGCUAGCUAGUUAGAUAGCUAAAUAGGUGGCUAUAGAAUCUAUAAUGCUGCCCAUGUUUGCAUUUUUAAAUCAAAAUUUCUACGAGCAAAUCACAAUCCUAGCACUGGCGGGCUACUGGUGUGGUCCUCACGGGCUACCUGGUGCUCGCGGGCACCACGUUGGAGACCCCUGGUGUAAACAAACGUCCAGCCCACCCGGGGGCUGUGAUUGGUUGGUAGCGAGCGGCAGCGGGGGCCGCCGAUUGGCUGAUCAGUCUCACGGCGCGAAAUUCAAAUGUCGGAGUUCUCAGAGGGCAUUUGUGGUUGCUACAGUACAACACCUUUGUGUUCAUUAGAAAAGGCUCAAAUUUCACACUCCGGAAAUACAUUUGUGAGUAAAUUGGGACUCUUCAGUUGGGUUAAUUCUUUUUGACCCAGCAGAUUAGGUUGAAGAUCAGAUUUAGCCAAGCUUUAGAGUAGAAUUUGGUCGCGGCGUAAGUAUAAAUAUUUUUAAUAAACAUUCUUAAAAUUAAAAGUAAUUCUUAAAAUGACAAUGGCAGCGGGGUGGAUCCGUGGGUAACGCCGCUGACUUUGGACACAAGGAGGCAGGUUCAAAUCCUGACAGAUGGCCAAUUCCCAGAAAAUAGUAGGGUUGCGAGCAGAAGAGUAUUGUAUUUUUAACAUAUAUAUAUA